rnacentral:misc_RNA from 1 species
GUGAAUCAUCAAAUCUUUGAACGCAAAUUGCACUCCCUGGUAUUCCGGGGAGUAUGCCUGUUUGAGGGUCGUUAGAAUAAAGAAUCGAGGCGUCGCUCUUUUUUUUAAGGGUGAUCGUGGCGGAAGUGAGCCGUCUUUCAAAUGGGAAGUCAUGUUAAAGUGGCUUAAAAUUCAUCCAUCCGGUACGAUUAAAGCGUAUUUAAGAUCAAUUUUGAUCAAGAACGCGCGAUGAACGUACCAUCUCAUGUAGUACGUUUGAGGUGACGUCGUCAGGAUCAUGCGGAUACGAUACUCAAACGGG